rnacentral:sRNA from 1 species
GUCCUACCGAGGGAGGAGCUACAGGCCACCGCGACCAGCAGAGAGCGAAGGCAGGAGGGACCAGCCUGGCCCAGCCCCUUCAUUUUACUGUCGGGGGUGGUGAGGAGGAAGAGGAAGAGGCGAAGGCUGGCGAGGAGGAGGACAAUUAUAUAGAGUCUGUUGUGAAAUUUAGAUUAG